rnacentral:rRNA from 1 species
GAUGAACGCUAGCGGUAGGCUUAACACAUGCAAGUCGAACGGGAUUCGGGUAGCAAUAUCUGAUGAGAGUGGCGCACGGGUGAGUAACGCGUAUGCAACCUACCUAUAACUGGAGAAUAGCCCUCGGAAACGAGGAUUAAUGUUCCAUAAUGUUCAGAGGCUGCAUGGCCUUUGAUCUAAAGCUCAGGCGGUUAUAGAUGGGCAUGCGUGACAUUAGUUUGUUGUUGAGGUAACUACUCACCAAGGCGACGAUGUCUAGGGGGUCUUAAAGGAUGAUCCCCCACACUGGUAUUGAGACACGGACCAGACUCCUACGGGAGGCAGCAGUGAGGAAUAUUGGUCAAUGGGCGCAAGCCUGAACCAGCCAAGCCGCGUGCAGGAUUAAGGCCCUAUGGGUUGUAAACUGCUUUUAUACGGGAAGAAUCCCCCCGACGUGUCGGGGAUUGACGGUACUGUAUGAAUAAGCAUCGGCUAACUCCGUGCCAGCAGCCGCCGUAAAAC